GAGAGAGGGAACACAAGCAGGGGGAGUGGGAGAGGGAGAGGCAGGCUUCCCGCCGAGCAGGGAGCCCAACGUGGGGCUCGAUCCCAGGACGCUGGGAUCAUGACCUGAGCCGAAGGCAGACGCUUAACGACUGAGCCACCCAGGCGCCCUGCAAAAUAACCCUUUGAAUGAUUUUUCUAUAAGAUGGAUAGAUGUAAAAAAAAAAAAAAAAAAAAAUGAGAUUUACUGUCUUCAUGAAUUUUAAGCGUGCAGUAUAGUAUUGUUAGCUAUAUGCACAUGGUUGUACAGCAACUGCUAGAGCUUUUUCAUCUUGCAUAACUGAAACUCUAUACCCACUCAGUAGCAACUCCUCGUUUCCCCCUCUUUUCUAGCCACUGGCAAUCACCAUUUUGCUUUCUGUCUCUAUGAAUUUGACUACUUUAGAACCUCAUAUAAGUGGAAUCAUGCAGGGGUGCCUGGUGGCUCAGUCAGUUAAGCGUCCGCCUUCAGGUCAGGUCACGAUCCCAGGGUCCUGGGAUCAGAGUCCCACAUUAGGCUCCCCGCUCAGCAAGGAGCCUGCUUCUCCCUCUGCCUCUCCCCCUGCUAGUGUGCUCUCUCUCUCUCUCUCUCUCUCUCUCUCCCAGUCUUUCUCUCAAAUAAGUAAAAUCUUAAAAAAAAAAAAAGUGGAAUCAUGCAGUAUUUGUCCAUGACUGGUUGAUAAGCUGUAUAUUUAUUGUUCAGUGAUAACCAGCAUUCAUUCCCACCACCUCUAUUAUAGGGGUCUUGAAACUCUAUUUUCCAGAUCCUCUUGCCUCCAGGGUCCUGUGUUUAAUCUAUAUUUUGCUAAUAAAAUACACUCACCAUGCUUUGGGAAACCUGAGGAGAGCGAAAGAUGUUCUUCCUCUGCCAACAGUGGUAUGCAGGCUUAAGCAGAUGUGAGUUUUCUCAAGGGUUGACAAGACUGCAUUCCACUGCUUUUAAGCAGAUGCAAGGAAUUUGUGACUUUGGCAGUGGUUUCCUGACUUGUGGGUGUUAUUGGAAACUUCCUGACCUCUGGAUUAAGGUAUGUGAUGACCUGAGCCGAAGAUAGACGUUCAACCAACUGAGCCACCCAAGUGCCCUUUUCUGGUUCUUACUUAAAAAAAAAAAAAAAAAAAUCAACUUUAGGGGCCAAGACAAUUCAAAGGGGAAAGAGUAGUCUUUUUAGCAAGGGUGCUGGGACAACUGGAUAAACACAUGCAAAGGAAUGAAAUUGGACCCCUACCUCAUUCUAUCUUCAAAAGUUAAAUCAAAAUAUAUCAUAGACCUAAAUGUUAGAGCUAAACUAUAAAAGUUUAAGAUUUACGUAGGUGUAAAUCUUCAUGACCUUGGACUAGGCAAUGGUUUCAUAGAUAUGACAAGCAACAAACAACCAAGGGAAAAAUACAAAUUGUGCUCAUCAAAAUUAAAAGCUUUUGUGCUUCAAAGGACACCAUCAAGAAAGUGAAACUACAGGGGCACCUGGGUGGCUCAGUUGGUUAAGCGACUGCCUUCGGCUCAGGUCAUGAUCCUGGAGUCCCGGGAUCGAGUCCCGCAUCGGGCUCUCUGCUCGGCGAGGAGCCUGCUUCUCCCUCUGACCCUCCCCCCUCUCAUGUACUCUCUCUCAUUCUCGCUCUCUCAAAUAAAUAAAUAAAUCUUUAAAAAAAAAAAAAAAGAAAGUGAAACUACAACCCACAGAAUUGAAGAAAAUAUUUGCAAAUUAUAUAUCUGAUAAGGAUCAAGUAUCCAAAAUAUUUAAAUAACUCUUAACAACUCAACAGCAGAAAGACCCAAAUAACCCAAUUUUAAAAUGGGCAAAAGCAUCUGAAUAGACAUUUCUCUCAAAAAAAGAUACAAAUGCUAACAAUCAUAUGAAAAGGUGGUCAACACUGUUAGUCAUUAGGGAAAUGCAAAUCAAACCCACAAUGAGAGGGGUGCCUGGGUGGCUUGGCGUUGGUUGAGCAUCCAGCUCUUGGUUUUGGUUCAAGUCAUGAUCUCAUGGGUCGUGGGUUGGAGCCCCACAUCGGGCUCCCUGCUCAACGGGGAGUCUGCUUGAAGAUUCUCUCCCUCUGACCCACCUCCCACUCUCUCUCUCAAAUAAAUAAAUAAAAUCUUUAAAAAAAAAAUGAGAUACUAUUUCAAACCCACUAGAAUGGCUAGAAUGAAAAAGGCAGAUAUAACAAGUGUUGACAAGGAUGUGGAGAAACUGGAAUCCUCAUACAUUGGAGUGAGAAUGUAAAAUGUACAGCUGAUGUGGAAAACAGUUUGACAGUUACUCAAAAAGUUAAACAUAGUUACCAUAUGACCCAGCAAUUCUGCUCAUACAUAUAUACCUAAGAGAAUUGAAAACUUAGAUCUACACAAAAAAUUGCACACAAAUGUUCAUAAUAGCAUUAUUUAUAAUAGCCAAAGAGUGAAGUACCUGUUUUUUUUGUGAGAAGUCUGUUCAAUUUCUUGCACAUUUUUAUUGUUUUGGAAAUAGGUGUAGUUGACAAGGUUCACAUAAAAUAUAACUACUAACCCUCCACCUCUCAGUGCUGAACCCUGGGAUUACAGGGAGCCAAGUUUCCUGCACCAUCUGCUAUGUUAAAACAUGUAGAGAAGAACCUGUUGGAAGUGACAUGAAUCUACAGUCUAAUACUUGGCAUUUUAAUCAGGAUUGUUACUAGUGAUUGCUUUAUUCUUUUAUAGCAAUUGGUCACUGUAAUGCUCAUAAUCUGUUGGUCUCCAUAGUGCUUGUAUGAAUACGGUGGUCAAAUCUGUUCUUUCACACCUACUGAACCUGCUUCACCAUCAACCUGCUUCUCAUUGUUUUAUCCCUUCCUCUUCGCCCAGGCUCGGCAGGCUGGCUGCCAGAGCGGCUCAGGUGACCUGAGAGAGCGUUCAUUGAUGCAAGAGAUCAGUCAAAAAAAGCAAAAUACAAUACACGAGGGGGAAGACACUGUUGUAAGAAUUACACAGCAGCCAGAGAGAGGAGAGGCUCCUGGCCUCCACGGCCAGCAUUAUAUAAGCAAUGAUGAGCUGGGUGUGGGCCCAGGUGAGGGUCCUAUAGAGCAGUUGCAUCGGCCAGGAUCUGACAAACAAGCGGGCAAAGGUAUGAAUCAGGUAAUCAGCCUCCACCAUCAGAGCCCAGCAGAGGAAACCGAACACCUGUCCUGGAUGGAGUCCAUGCCACCAGGCCGAGAAGGCGAACGUCUGCAGCAGGGGCCAGGCCCUGCCGUGCUGGAAUACGAGGCGUCUGAGCCACUGUGCUGUGCUUUGGUUCCAUUUUCUCGUGAACAGGGAAAUCCUGUGGGUUGUUUCCAGGGUCCAGAUGUCCCCAUCAGGAAUGUAUCCCUCCUCACCAGGGCUCUGACCAAACCCCGGCCCAAAGCCCGCAGCAUGGAGGAGGGCGUCAUCCAGGAUCCAGCAGGAGUAGUAGUCCCUCACACGUGACCCCACAGCGAACAGCCACUCUGAACAAUGGAGACCGAUGUCCUGCCCUGCUGUGCCCCCACAGACUCUUGGAUUAGUUCACACCACAGGCUACUCUGGGCAGGAUCAAAAGGAACGCUGUCCUAUGGAGAGAAAAUGGCAGUGUUUCCCACAUGCCCACAGUUUCUAUCCGUGAGUCUGAGGAUUUAAGGACAACUGACCUCCUCACCUGACUUAACCAAACAGAAAAAAAACUGAGGCUGAGAGGUUAAAUGACUUGCUUAAGGUCACACUGCUCCAAUGUGCAAGAAUUCGGAUUCAAACUCACUUCCACCAUGGUGCAAGCAAAGCCUUGGCUGCUUUAGUACAGCCAAGUGAAUAGGUAGCUUUACCUCGUGGAAGCACGUUCUUGCAGAUAGUAUUCCGUAUAGUGCAGCCCCAGGUGACACAGAGUCUGCCAGCUCAUCUGAAAGAAGAAAGCCCACCUGUGGACAUCCCGUGGGCCAAGCCAGGAAAUCAGAACCACGGCCCACAGAGCGGGGAUGAGGACAAGCACAGCGAAGGAACCCAUGGCGGCCAAGGCCAGGGCCCCCCCUCCAGCCAGGAGAAAGAGAUACCUAAAAGAGAAAGGACAAGUGUGAGACUGAAUUGGUGUGACAAAGGAGUCACUUCAGAUGUCAUUCUGGAUAACCCAAUGGAGGCCGAUCCAUGCUUUUUGACCUACUAUGGUAUUCAUAGAUGUAAGAGCAAAAUGAGCCCUUAAACCUACCUGGCAUGGGUGGAAAAUGAAUCCAUGACGCAGAGAUAAUUAAACAGAAGUGCAAAAGGAAAAGCAGCCCCUUGAUAAAGUGAUACAGGAUGGAGGAAGAACCCCUGAAGCCAAUCCAUUGUGAACUGGAACAAAGACACUGUUCUUUCUAGAGUCCUUAACUGGUGCCUUCCUGUAAGAGAUGCCUCAACCGGGCUCUCUUUGAACUUUUUAUAUGGCUCAGGAAGGCCUGGGUGAGUAAAGAGCAAACAAAAGCACCAGCCAGAAGCUGCAUAAAAGUUGGCUUUCUGAUAAAGGGAACUGCGCUAUAGAAACCAAAACACAUUCUGGUGUUCUAUUAAGAAUGUACGGAAAACAUUGCUUUCAGAAGUUCUCAUUUCGAUUAGUUUACAUACUGCAUUAUUUGCCUUUCCAGUCAUCUGACUGUCAUAUUUUCUUCACUAAGUUAAUGAAAAAUCUCAUUUUCCAGUUGUGGACAGAUAACCAGCCAGCUGGGGAGGGUGAGCGAGGACAUGAGCAUGAGAAAGGGAAGCAGGUUCUCAAAGAGCAGGAAGAUUCCUUCUCCCAACCACUGCUGUCUUCCUUAUGCUAUUUCUUUCUCUCUUUUUUUUUUCAUAGUACCUAUCACCACCUCUUCUCUAUUUUUCAAUUAGUUUAUUGUCUGUCCCCUGCUACAAUGUGAGCUCUACAAGGGAGGAACUUUGUUUUGUUUAUUGCUGUAUCCCCCUGCACAUAGAACAGUGUUGGGCGUAUGCUAUGUAAUCAGUAAAUACCUGUUAAACUUUAUAAGGUUUUAAGGAAGUGAAGUGUAGAGAAGAACAUUUAAGGAGAAGCUUUUCUUCGGAGUGUGGACAAGAAAUACAAGAGACACUGCCUAGAAGCAAGAAAAGAACAGGUCAUCUCUUGGCUGGUAGAGUCCAUCUACUGAGCCCAGAGUAUUACAGCGAUGUACCUGACUGGCCAUUUUUCAUCUUUGAAGACACAUGCAAGAGCAAGCAGCCUUAGAUAAAGGACAGGAGAGGGCGCGUGGGUGGCUUAGUCGUUAAGCAUCUGCCUUCGGCUCAGGUCAUGAUCCCAGGGUCCUGGGAUCGAGUCCCACAUCGGGUUCCCUGCUCGGCAAGAAGCCUGCUUCUCCCUCUCCCAUUCCCCCUGCUUGUGUUCCUGCUCUCGCUGUCUCUCUCUCUGUCAAAUAAAUAAAUAAAAUCUUUUUAAAAAGGACAGGAGAGUAGAGCCUGAUACAAAAGCGUCCUAAGGACAAGGACCAUCUCUUAGUGAGAGAGAGCUCUGCAAAGAAGAAAAAGCAGAGAGAGAAUCUCUUAUUAACUAGGGGACUCUGAGCUAAAUCCCUUCUCUUGGAGACUGAGCUCCUUGAUAAAAAAAAUCAGAUAUAAUAAUGCCCGUCUCAACAGAAUGGUUAUGAGGAUUAGAUAAAGUAUGGAAAGGCAUGGAGCCUAAAGCUGGUUGUUAAAUGUAGUUGAAAGUAAAACAGUUGGAUAACAAUAAAAAUGGUAGCAUUAUUGGGCUACCAUUUUAUGAUAGACUGGUGCCAAGCACUAGGAAUAUAAAGAUCAAUAAGACAUGGCCCCUGCCUUCAAGCAGCUUUCAAUCUACAAGGGAGAUGGAAAUGGCAAUGAAUACUUUCAUCAAAGAAUGACAGGUGCAGUAUACCAUGGGUAUCCUGUAGUGGGUAAAUAAAAAAGCAAUUAUCUGCAGUGCUUAAAUUGGCUCUGGAAGGAGGUUUCCAAACAGAUGGACAGCUUAUUUCAGGCCACACAGGUGGUACAAAGAUCUAGAUGAACAGUAGAACAAUGAAUAAGCUCACACAAUAUUGAACAUAUUAAAAUGUAAUCACAUCCCUCAUUAAAUUUAACUGUUAGGUACAGAGGAAUUGAGUUGCAGUUAAUUUGUUAGGGAAAAAAGUUAUGCUUUGGGGCACCUGGGUGGCUCAGUCUUAAGUGUCUGCCUUUGGCUCAGGUCAUGAUCCCAGGGUCCUGGGAUAGAGUCCCACAUCUGGCUCCUUGCUCAGUGGGGAGCCUGCCACUCCCCCUGCUUGUGCUCUCUCUCUGUGUCAAAUAAAUAAAUAAAAUCUUAAAAAAUAAAAAAAACCAAAGUUAUGCUUUUUGUCUUUGAAUUAAAUAUUUUUUAAUUUUUAAAAAUUUAAAAAUUUAUUUAUUUGUCAGAGAGAGAGGGCACAAGCAGGAAUUUAUUAAUUCCUACUUGUACUUUUUGUUUUGGAAUCUGUACUUUUUUUUAAAUUUUUUUUUUAAAGAUUUUUGGGUUUUGGGGGGUUUUUUUAAAGAUUUUAUUUUUUUAUUUAUUCAUUUGAGAGAGCGAGAAUGAGAGAGAGAGCACAUGAGAGGGGGGAGGGUCAGAGGGAGAAGCAGACUCCCUGCUGAGCAGGGAGCCCGAUGCGGGACUCGAUCCCGGGACACCAGGAUCAUGACCUGAGCCGAAGGCAGUCGCUUAACCAACUGAGCCACCCAGGCACCCUGGAAUCAGUACAUUUUUUAAAAAGAUUUUAUUAGAGUGUGUGCAUGUGUGCAGUGGGGAGGGGCAGAGGGAGAGGGGGAAGCAGACUUCCCACUGAGCAGGGAGCUGCACUCUGGGGCUCAAUCCCAGGACCCUGGGAUGAUGACCUGAGCCCAAGGCAGACACAUAACCUACUGAGCCACCCAGGUGCCCCUGAAAUCAGUACAUUUUAUUUUCAGGUCUCAAACAGUUUGUAGGUCCCUAAAAAGCUUAUAGGCACUAGACACUGUACCUAAUGUUGAUAAAAUGGUCCUUCUUAUAAGCAUGCUGUGAUGGUUAAUUAUUGUAUCAACUCAGGCUAUACUGCUCAGUUGUUUGGUCAAACACCAAUCUAGUAGUUGCUGUGAAGUUUUUUUGUUUUUGUUUUUAGAUGAGAUUAACAUUUAAAUCAAUACUUAGAGUAAAACAGAUUACCAUCCAAAAUGUGGCUGCACCUCUUCCAAUCAGUUGAAGUCCCUAAGAACAAAGACUGAGGUUUCCUAAAGAAGCCGCAAUUCUACCUCCAGAUUGGGUCAGAGAAACCCUGAGUUUCCAGUGUGUGGAUUUUGGAUUUGAGCCUGCAGCAUCAACUCUUCCCUGAAUUUCCAGCCCAUGGGUCUACUUGUACAAAUUGCAGGUUUUCCAGCCCCCAUAAUCACAUAAGCCAAUUCCUAAAAUAAAUGUGUGUGUGUGUGUGUGUGAUCUCCCGUGCUUGUGUUUCUCUGGAGAAGUCUAAUACACAUGCCCUAGAAGUCUUUCAAAUUAAUUUAGACAGAAAUUGCUUGAAAAUGAGUAAGUGCUUAUAUGCUUGGGGACAAAAGAAUGUUCUCAAUUCAUCCAUAUCUUUAUUCAAUAAUUCUUUUUGAGUAUCAACUAUGUGUCAGGUACUGUGGUCAGUAUUGAGUAAAGAGUGGGGACAAAUUCAUGUGACUACUUUCAUGGAACUUAGUCUUUUUUUUUUUUUAAAGAUUUUAUUUAUUUGACAGAGAGAGACACAGCAAGAGAGGGAACACAAGCAGGAGGAGUGGGAGAGCGAGAAGCAGGCUUCCUGCUGAGCAGGGAGCCCGACGGGUCCGAUCCCAGGACCCUGGGAUCAUGACCCGAGCCGAAGGCAGACGCUUAACGACUGAGCCACCCAGGCGCCCCUGGAACUUAGUCUUUGGGGAGAUAGUAAGAUAAAAAAUUACAGCUGCUGGAUGGUCCCUUUUUUCUUAAGUAAACAACCCCAAGAUCAAGAGUCACGUACUCUCGACUGAGCCAACCAGGUACCUGAAUGAGGGAUCCUCUUCUUAUCCGAUGGAGAAAACCAAAAAUACAGCAAAAAUGACCUAUUUCUGAUUGGGUGGUCAGAGGUUUCUCUGAGUGUGAUGGUUAGUUUUUUGUAUCAAUUUAGCUAGGCCACGGUUCCCAGCCAUUCAAUCAAACACCAAUCUAAGUAAUGUUUUGAAGGUAUUUUAUAGGUGUGAUUAAAGUCUAUAACCAGUUGACUUUAAAGAAGGGAGAUUAUCCUAGAUAAUCUGGGUGGGGCUGAUCCAAUCAGUUAAAAGGCUUUAAGAGCAAAGCUGGAGCUUUCCUGAAGAUAUUCCACCUAUAUAGACAGCAGCUUCACUGCAUGCAUGAGAGUUCCAGCCUGCCCUACAGACUUCUGACUUGCCUAGCCAGCCCCCACAAUCAGGUAAGCCAAUUCCUGGCAAUAAACCUCUUAAUUUAUGUCUCCUAGUGGUUCUGUUUCUCUGGUGAACCCUGACUAAUACACGGACGAUGGGACAUCUGAGAC